rnacentral:rRNA from 1 species
CACGUAGGGCGCAAGCGUUGUCCGGAAUUAUUGGGCGUAAAGAGCUCGUAGGCGGUCUGUUGCGUCCGCUGUGAAAACUCGGGGCUUAACCCCGAGCCUGCAGUGGAUACGGGCAGACUAGAGGUAGGUAGGGGGAGAAUGGAAUUCCCGGUGUAGCGGUGAAAUGCGCAGAUAUCGGGAGGAACACCGGUGGCGAAGGCGGCACUCUGGGACGGUACUGACGCUGAGACGCGAAAGCGUGGGGAGCGAACAGG